rnacentral:rRNA from 1 species
UACGAGGGGGGCUAGCGUUGUUCGGAAUCACUGGGCGUAAAGCGCACGUAGGCGGCGCGUUAAGUCAGGGGUGAAAUCCCAGAGCUCAACUCUGGAACUGCCUUUGAUACUGGCGUGCUCGAGUGUGGAAGAGGUUGGUGGAACUGCGAGUGUAGAGGUGAAAUUCGUAGAUAUUCGCAAGAACACCAGUGGCGAAGGCGGCCAACUGGUCCAUUACUGACGCUGAGGUGCGAAAGCGUGGGGAGCAAACAGG